UAUGGCCGUAUGUCGGCCAUUACUGGUAAGCAUUGUUGGCAAUGCGGGGUUAUCAGAGAGCGCGCCAAUAGAGCACGGGGUCUUGCUCAUAGCCAGAUCCCACGAAGGAUGUUUGUUACAAGGGGUAGUAAGGAAGUGGCCAUGAAUGUU
rnacentral:rRNA from 16 species